UGGGGAAUUUUGGACAAUGGGGGCAACCCUGAUCCAGCCAUCCCGCGUGUGCGAUGAAGGCCUUCGGGUUGUAAAGCACUUUUGGCAGGGAAGAAACAGCCUGGGAUAAUACCCCGGCGACUGACGGUACCUGCAGAAUAAGCACCGGCUAACUACGUGCCAGCAGCCGCGGUAAUACGUAGGGUGCAAGCGUUAAUCGGAAUUACUGGGCGUAAAGCGUGCGCAGGCGGUUCGGAAAGAAAGGUGUGAAAUCCCAGGGCUUAACCUUGGAACUGCACUUUUAACUACCGAGCUAGAGUACGUCAGAGGGGGGUAGAAUUCCACGUGUAGCAGUGAAAAUGCGUAGAGAUGUGGAGGAAUACCGAUGGCGAAGGCAGCCCCCUGGGAUGAUACUGACGCUCAUGCACGAAAAGCGUGGGGAGCAAAACAGGAUUAGAUACCCUGGUAGUCCACGCCCUAAAACGAUGUCAACUAGCUGUUGGGGUUUAUUAACCUUAGUAGCGCAGCUAAACGCGUGAAGUUGACCGCCUGGGGAGUACGGUCGCAAAGAUUAAAAACUUAAAA
rnacentral:rRNA from 1 species